CAUAGGUGGGAGACUUUGAAACCGCGUCGCUAGAUGUGGUGGAGUCGUCCUUGAAAUACCACCCUUGUAGUUUUGAUGUUCUAACGUUGGUCCCUGAAUCGGGAUUACGGACAGUGCCUGGUGGGUAGUUUGACUGGGGCGGUCUCCUCCCAAAGAGUAACGGAGGAGCACGAAGGUGGGCUAAACACGGUUGGACAUCGUGUGGUUAGUGCAAUGGCAUAAGCCCGCUUGACUGCGAGAAUGACAAUUCGAGCAGGUGCGAAAGCAGGUCAUAGUGAUCCGGUGGUUCUGAAUGGAAGGGCCAUCGCUCAACGGAUAAAAGGUACUCCGGGGAUAACAGGCUGAUACCGCCCAAGAGUUCAUAUCGACGGCGGUGUUUGGCACCUCGAUGUCGGCUCAUCACAUCCUGGGGCUGAAGUCGGUCCCAAGGGUAUGGCUGUUCGCCAUUUAAAGUGGUACGCGAGCUGGGUUUAGAACGUCGUGAGACAGUUCGGUCCCUAUCUGCCGUGGGCGUUGGAAAAUUGAAAGGGGCUGCUCCUAGUACGAGAGGACCGGAGUGGACGAACCUCUGGUGUUCGGGUUGUCAUGCCAAUGGCAUUGCCCGGUAGCUAAGUUCGGAAUCGAUAACCGCUGAAAGCAUCUAAGCGGGAAGCGAGCCUUGAGAUGAGUUUUCCCUGGCGCUAUAAGCGUCCUAAAGGGUUGUCGUAGACUACGACGUUGAUAGGCAGGGUGUGUAAGUGCUGCGAGGCAUUGAGCUAACCUGUACUAAUUGCCCGUGAGGCUUAACCAUACAACACCCAAGGGGUUU
rnacentral:rRNA from 1 species